UUUUCUUCAAAUGUUUACCAAAUUACAUGCUACAAAAAUUGAUUUAUUUCAUUGAAAAGUGGAUGAAGAAAAGCAUACUAAUUUAUUUGAUAACAUCAAUCUACAUUAUUUUGUGACAAAUGUGAAGUUCACAUACUAUAGUAACAGUACAGGCCAUGGUGUUCAGAUAUGAAGAGAUGCAGGUCUACAUUGUUCAACACAGUGUAUGAGGGAAACAGAGUGGAUGGCAAGGAUAGAAAACAUUUCACAAUUUUACAAUGAUCAAGUUGCCUGUGAUGACUGUUCUUGUUGUGGCUCUAGUACCAGCUUUUAUAAUUGAAAACUGUGAAGUAUCAGUGCAGACCAUGAAGUUCAGAAAUGAAGAGAUGCAGGUCUAAAUUGUUGAACACAGUGUUCGAGGGAAACAAUGGAUGGCAAGCAUAAAAAACAUUUCACAAUUUCUCCUGAUCAAGUUGCCUGUGAUGGCUGUUCUUGUUGUGGCUCUAGUACCAGCUUAAGCUGAACUCUGUUUUAUAGUUGAAAUCUGUGAAGUAAGAGUACAAACCAUGAAGGUUGGAAAUGUAAAGAUAAAUUGUUCAACAAGUUUUACCUGAUAAAGUUGCCUGAGAUGACUGUCCUUGAUGUGGCUCUAGUACCAGCUUAAGCUGAACUCUGUUUUAUAGUUGAAAUCUGUGAAGUAACAGUACAGAUCAUGAAUAAAUGCAGGUCUGGAUUGUUCAACACAGUGUAUGAGAGAAUCAUAGUGGAUGACAAGCAUAGAAAACAUUUCACAAUAUCAACUACAUUGGAACAAAUAAAAGAAGGUUUAGGGACAUCUUGAUAACUUUUUGAUAACUUGUCAACCACUGCAAAAUAUCAGGUAAGAAAAUAAGACUUUCCGCUGAACAGUUAAGGCUAGAUCUACAUAAGCAUGUGGCUGAAGGUCUCCAUACACCUACAAACAAGCCAUUAUUCAUACCCUAUAUUUAUAGUUCUGUUCUUUCUCUUUAUGUCAUUUGUCUUUUAAAGAUUUGUGUCUGACAGUCUGUCCGUAAACCUUGAAUUCCCUUUUUAGCUCCACUAUUGAGAGAAUAAGGGUGCUAUUCUACUUGUUCGGCGUGAGCUUUCUUGGUUAAAGUUUUUUGGCAACCUUUGUUUUUCUUUGUUAAUAUUGCUUAUUAGUCCCCUACUGGUUGAAAACCAGUUUCGGGGACUAUAGGAAUGUGCUUUUCCGUCCAUCCGUCCAUCUGCAAUUUCGUGUCCUGUCCAUAACUCUGUCAUCCAUGAAGCGAUCUUAAUAUUACUUGGCACAAAUGUUCCCCAUGAUGAGACGAUGUGUCAUGCCCAAAACCCGGACCCCUAGCUUAAAGGUCAAGGUCACAAUUCGAAGUCAAAGGUCAACAUGGCUUUUUUCCUGUCCGGUCCUUAACUCUGCCAUCCAUGAAGGGAUUUUAAUAUUAUUUGGCACAAAUGUACCUCAUAAUAAGAUAAUAUGUCAUGCACAACUUUCAGACCCCUAGCUCAAAAGUCAAGGUCACACUUGGCAAUCAAACAUUAACAUCGCAUGAACAGGGUCUGUUUCGUGUCCAGUCCACAACUCUGUCAUUCAUAAAGGGAUUUUAAUAUCACUUGGCACAAACGUUCCCCAUGAUGAGACGACGUGUCAUGCGGAAGUCCCGGACCCCUGGCUUAAAGGUCAAGGUCACAAUUGGAGGUCAAAGGUCAACAGGGCUUUUUUCCUGUCCGGUCCAUAACUCUACCAUCCAUGAAGGUAUUUUAAUAUUACUUGGCACAAAUGUUCCCCAUAAUAAUAGGACGUGUCAUGCGCAAAACCCGGACCACUAUCUCAAAGGUCAAGGUCACAAUAGGAGGUCAAAGGUAAAUAGGGUGUUUUUCCUCUCCAGUCCAGAACUCUGUCAUCCAUCAAGGGAUUUUAAUAUUACUUGGCAUAAAUGUUCCCCAUGAUGAGACAAUGUGUCAUACCCAACACCCAGAACCCAAGUUUAAAGGUCAAGGUCACACUUGGAAAUCAAAGGUCAAUAGGACAUUUUUCCUGUCCGGUGUAUACUUUGUCAUGCAAAACAGGAUUUAAAUAUUACUUGGCACAAAUGUUCAUCACUAUGAGACGGAGUGUCAUGCACAAGAACCUUGUCCCUAGGCGAAGGUCAAGGUCACACAUAGAGGCCAAAGGUCAGAUACAAGAAUGAUUGUCUGGAACAUUUCUUCUUCAUGCAUGGAGGGAUUUUGAUGUAACUUGGCAUAAAUGUUCACUACCAUGAGACAGAUUGUUGUGCGCAAGAACCAGGUCCCUAGGUAUAAGGUCAAGGUCAUACUUAGAGGCCAAAUGCCAAAUUCAAGAAUGACUGUCCGGAGCAUUUCUUCUUCAUUCACGGAGGGAUUUUGAUGUAACUUGGCACAAAUGUUCACCACCAUGAGGCACCGUUGUUUUUAGAAUUAUGUCCCUUUGUUUUUACUAUAAAUAGCUUAUAUUGUAACUUAUUUAUUACAGGCCGUAGGGAAAAAUUGAGACCAGUUUUCUGUUGUACAACAUGCAUGUUACAUCCAAUUUUUAGGUGUAUUUUGACUUAUAUCUACCUGGUAAAGAGGUUUGUGUGGACUUAUAUAGAAUUUUUUUUUCUUUAAUAUAAAUAACUUAUAUGUUACCUUUUUGAUAAUCGGCCAAAAAAAUGCUAUAUGAAAACAACUACAGGCUUUUAUAUAUACAAAUUUUAAUCCAAGUGUUUUGUUAUAACACAUUGUAUAAAUAGUACAAUAUUGUUUAUACAUUAUUGACAGAUAUCAGUUCAUUAUGUUAUACUGCAGUAGAGAAAAUUAGGUGCCUUCCAGUUGGGGACUUUGUAUUGCAUGGCAAUACUUCAUUCACUUGUUUCUUCGUGUUACUUCACAUUAACAUUGUUCAGCAUUUUGGACAACCUUUGUUUUUCUGUCAUAUCUUUGUUACUAUUGCUUAUACCUUACUGUAAGUUCACAUAAACAUUGUCCAGCAUACAAACAAAGUAUUUGCAGGGGCUGGGCCCAUUAUACCCAAGGUCAAGGUACCCAAGGUAUUACACUUGGGUUAAACUUAUGGUUAAAGUUUUUUUGGCAACCUUUGUUUUUCUGUCAUAUCUUUGUUGCUUAUAUCUUACUGUGAUUUCACAUAAACAUUGUCCAGUGUACAAACAAAGUAUUUGCAGGGGCUGGGCCCAUUAUACCCAAGGUCAAGGUCACUAAGGUAUUGUACUUGGGUUAUUUUUAAGGUUAAAGUUUUUUGACAACCUUUGUCAACUUUUUCUGUCGUAUCUUUGUUGCUAUUGCUUAUAUCUUACUGUAAGUUCACAUAAACAUUGUCCAGCAUACAAACAAAGUAUAUGCAGGGGCUGGGCCUAUUAUACCCAAGGUCAAGGUCACCAAGGUGCUAUACUUAGGUUAUUUUUAAGGUUAAAGUUUUUCGGCAACCUUUGUUUUUCUGUCAUAUCUUUGUUGCUAUUGCUUAUAUCUUACUGUGAGUUUACAUAAACAUUGUCCAGCAUACAAACAAAAUAUUUGCAGGGGCUGGGCCCAUUAUACCCAAGGUCAAGGUCACCAAGGUGUUGUACUUGGGUUAUUUUUAAGGUUAAAGUUUUUUGACAACCUUUGUCAACUGUCAUAUCUUUGUUACUAUUGCUUACAUCUUACUGUAACUUCACAUAAACAUUGUCCAGCAUAGAAACAAAGUGUGUGCAGGGGCUGGGCUUAUUGUAGUCAAGGUCAAGGUCACCAAGUUGUUAUACUUGGAAUUAUUUUCAUGUUAAUUUUUUUCGAAAGCUUCGUUUAUAGACAUAUCUUUGGUACUUUAAAAGAUAAUGACUUGAAAUUAAAAAUAUUUCUUUAUAAUCAUCAUCUACAUGUGUGGUUUCAAUCCCCAUAACUCUAAUUGUAUUCUAUAAAAAAAAAAACGAUAUGUGAUGCCCAACACCCAGAUCCCUAGUCCAAAAAUCAAAGCCACACUUGGAGGUGAAAGGUCAGUAGGGUUUCUUUCUUGUAUGGUCAAUGACCCUGUCAUUCAGCAAGGGAUUUUAAUAUAAAUUUGCUCAAAUGUACCUCAUAAUGAGACAAUGGCUUAUGCAACACUCUUAUUCCUAUUUCUUAGGUCAAGGUUACAGUCGGAGGUCAAAGGUCAGUAAGUUUUUUUUAGCUCAUCUGAAUUAAGGGUGAGCUAUUAGAAUGGGUUGGAUGGUAAGGGGUCCGUCAUCCAUCGUCCGUCGUCCACAUUUUUACUUAAACAUCUUCUCCUCAGAAACUAAUGGUCUGAAUAACACCAAAUUUGGUCUGUAGCAUCCUGUUGAGGUCCUUUAUUGAGGUUUGUUCAAAUGGGGACAUUUGUCUCCUUUUAGGGGCCGCUAGGGCUAAAAACAGAAAAAUAUUUAAACAACUUCUUCUCAUGAAACGCUUGAUGGAUCUGCAUCAAACUUGGUCUGUAGCAUCAUUAUGAAGUCCUUUCCCAAAUUUGUUCAAAUGGGGGCACUUGACCUCUUUAAGGGGCUGCUAGAGCUAAAAAUAGAAAUACCUUUAAACAGCUUCUUAACAUGAACUGCUAGAUUGAUUUUCAUAAAACUAACUUUAGCAUCAUUAUAUGAAACUCUUAUCAAGUUUGUUCAAAUGGGGGCACUGGCCCCUAGAGCUAAAAAUAGAAAUACCUGUAAAUGACUUCUUUUCAUGAACUGCUUGAUGGAUCUUCAUCAAACUUGGUCUGUAGCAUCAUUAUAUGGUCCUCUCCCAAG